AGGAUCAAACCCGCAACCUUGGUAUACUGGGAUGAUGCGCCACUCAGCAAGGACCCAAUGUCCAGGCUUUUGACAGGAGAUGGCAGAGAGGACCCGGUGAGGAAGAGGGCCUUCGGAUACACGUCAUAUAUUCAACUGAGGCCCUCUAGUGGCUGAGGAAAUGUUACCCGAGUUUUUUCCUAGACGAGUAUCUCCCAGUCUUAAUAGAAGUUUGGCUGAGA